GCCAGAAUGGUCUGAGAUCACUGGAGGGACAGCUACUCCAUUCGCCCGCUGGCUGUCUUCCGGCUUUCAGAAAGCCUGGGAGCCCACUACUCAUGCUUCUCAAGCUUUUCCAUCACAGUAUUCCUAAUGGCAGAGAAGGGUGGAGGCUGCUUCCCAGGGGUCUGAGAUAGCUUCUGAAGGUGCUGGCCACUCAGAUAGUGAAACCAUCUGCUUUUAUGAAGCUAUGUACUUCUUGACACAGGAUUCUCAGAAAGGCUUAUGGAAAUCAGUUUUAAGAGAGAAGAAACUAAGAACAUAAGAACAGAGGCAGCAGACACUAUGGAAACAGAAAACAAGGCGAGAGCAAGAAGGCAGAGGCUAAUGACCGAGGGAAGAUGAUUGAGGACAGCAGAAAGCAGGACAAGGGAAUAAAGUA